rnacentral:rRNA from 1 species
UACGGGGGGAGCAAGCGUUGUUCGGAUUCAUUGGGCGUAAAGAGCUCGUAGGUGGCUCUGUAAGUCGGAGGUGAAAGACCACGGCUCAACCGUGGAAACGCCUUCGAAACUGUGGAGCUUGAGGCUGGGAGAGGAAAUCGGAAUUCCUGGUGUAGCGGUGAAAUGCGUAGAUAUCAAGUGGAACACCAGUGGCGAAGGCGAGUCCCUGGACAACUCCUGACACUGAGGCACGAAAGCUAGGGGAGCAAACAGG